ACGACGCUCUUCCGAUCUCUGCAGGUGAGGAAAGUCCGGGCUUCGCAGGGCAGGAUGCCGGAUAACGUCCGGUGGAGGUGACUCCCAGACCAGUGCAACAGAAAUAAACCGCCAUGGCUUGCUGAGGUAAGGGUGGAAAGGCAGUGUAAGAGACUACCGCCGUCCUGGUAACAGGCCGGGCACAUGUAAACUCCAUUUGAAGCAAGACCGAAUAGAAAGCGAUACGGCUGCCCGUCGUGCUUUCAGGUGGGUCGCUUGAGCCUUAUGGCAACGUAAGGCCUAGACAGAUGAUUACCCAAUGACAUAACCCGGCUUAUUG
rnacentral:RNase_P_RNA from 1 species